AAAGAGUUGGUGCUCACCAUCGGUUCGGCUCCUCCAUACCUCUUUAAGGGUGCUACUUGGCACUAAACUCCAAUCCUUGAAGAAGCUAAUAGAAUUCAAGGAGGUUCUAAGGCGUGGGAUUUGGUUAGAACCUGUACACGUGCGGCGACCCUCGAAGUCUACCUUCUUCCCUACAUUUAUGAGGCUUAGGGCAUGGGUUGGAGACUGGUUAGCUCCAAGUUCGGUCAAGGUUAUGACCAUCCCAAUUUGGAAAAAGAAGCAAUAUAAAAAAAAGCCAAAAAUGUGAAAAAUGAGCGAAAACAAAAAAAAGAAGAUGAAAAGCAUAAGCGAGUGAA
rnacentral:lncRNA from 1 species